CACGUAGGGUGCGAGCGUUGUCCGGAAUUAUUGGGCGUAAAGAGCUCGUAGGCGGUGUGUCGCGUCGGCCGUGAAAACCUGCAGCUUAACUGUGGGCUUGCGGUCGAUACGGGCAUCACUGGAGUUCGGCAGGGGAGACUGGAAUUCCUGGUGUAGCGGUGAAAUGCGUAGAUAUCUGGAGGAAUACCGGUGGCGAAGGCGGCAUCCUGGACCGACAUUGAGCGCUGAACGGCGAAAAGCUAGGGGAGCCAAACGGG
rnacentral:rRNA from 1 species